AGAAAGCUCACUUGUAUAGGGUGACCUAAUUUUGCCUAAGAGGGUUCAACUAUCAAAACUCAACUACAAUAGAUUUGUAGAUUUGAAAUACAGUAGAGUCUCACUUAUCCAACACUCGCUUAUCCAACGUUCUGGAUUAUCCAACGCAUUUUUAUAGUCAAUGUUUUCAAUACAUCAUGAUAUUUUGGUGCUAAAUUCGUAAAUACAGUAAUUACUACAUAGCAUUACUGAGUAUUGAACUACUUUUUCUGUCAAAUUUGUUGUAUAACAUGAUGUUUUGGUGCUUAAUUUGUAAAAUCAUAACCUAAUUUGAUGUUUAAUAGGCUUUUCCUUAAUGCCUCCUUUUUAUCCAACAUAUUCGCUUAUCCAACAUUCUGCUGGCCUGUUUAUGUUGGAUAAGUGAGACUCUACUGUAUGUGAAUGCAUGUUCAGUUUGGACUGAUAAUUAUUGAGGAAGUUCACUUACACAAGGUGAGCUAAUUUUGCUUGAUCAUUGAAACAGGGGAUUGAGACUCCCAAUCAUAGACUUGGGAAGAUGGAACGUCCUGCAUUCCUAUUCCAGGAUUCAGGAGAAAGUACACAGGUUGCUCUACACUGCAGAAUUAAUUCAGAUUGACACCAAUUUAACUGCCAUGGUUCAAUGCCAUGAAAUCAUGGAAUCUGUAAUUUGGUGGGGGUCAGCAUGCUUUAGCAUCGUAAAGAUUCUCAUGCUCCCAUAGCAUUGGGCAAUGGCAAUUAAAGUGGUGUCAAACUGCAUUAUUUUUGUAGUGUAGAUGCAUCCCUAAUCAAAGUAUCUCUCACUGUGAGCAAAAUAAUGGUGAAAUGUACUGUGUUUUCUUUAAAUUAUAGUAACUAUUUUACAUCUGCAAUGGUAUAAAUUAGCAUUUAUUUAUUUAUUUAUUUAUUUACAGCAUUUAUAUUCCGCCCUUCUCACCCCGAAAGGGACUCAGGGCGGAUCACAUUACACAUAUAGGCAAACAUUCAAUGCCUUUUUAACAUAGAACAAAGACAAGACAAACAUAGGCUCCGAGCGGGCCUCGAACUCAUGACCUCCUGGUCAGAGUGAUUCAUUGCAGCUGGAUUCAGCUGGCUUGCUCUCCAGCCUGCGCCACAGCCCGGGCCUAGCAUGUGCAAAUAGAAUCCAAAUCUCUGUACCAUGUUAUCACCUAAUUCAUAACCUUUUCUGAGAGAUGCACUUUCUCUUCUUGUGUAAUGUGUUAAGUUGUCACCCUAUUAUUUUUAGAGGUUUCUACAAACAGAAAAGGGAAGAAACAGGCAAAGCAAAUAAUAGCCAUGAAAUAGAGAAAGGAGAGUGGGAAAGCAAUAGAACAUGCUCCUUUUAAAAAUAAGCCAGAAUGCCUGCUUAUUUCAGUAUGUUGGGUAUCCUCCACACCAUUUGUAGAAGAUGUGUCCCUUUAGAGCUCCUAGUUUCCAUUUCAAGGUUGUUAAGAUGGUAUUUAGAAUAGGAGACACAAAGAGUUCAAUCAUGGAGGCAGGGCAGAUGUGUCCCUUUCCCUAUCUUUCAUCUUUUCCACAAUAUUGCUUUGCCUGUAUAUGUUGAAAGUCUGUAAAUAUCAAGAAAUGAAUUGUUCCAAUUAACUCAAUUAAAACCUUUUCAGUUGCUUAACAAAUACCCCUAAUUAAUUGCAUUUUUAAAAACUUCUUAAAAACUAAUCACUUUAAUAUAGAUUAUCCAAAACAAUGUAUAUGUAGAAAAUUCUUGCUUAAAUGAUUGUAUUAGUUAACAUAUCCUUCUCCCUGACUAUGCUGGUGACUCUGCUGACAUCAGCAUGGGGUACCCAUGCUGGCCAGGAGCUCUGCAGCCACAGCAGAGGUGGAAGUGGCGAACACAGGUUUAAUCUGUGCUGGUGAGUUCACAUGAGCAGCAACAGACCAUGGACAGUGGACCUAUCCUUAUCAGAUCUUUUUGUGAGCUCCACACUGUGCCCAAACUAUAUGGCUGCUCUGGAGUUUUAGUCAAACUCCAAACCAUUCCCUGACUUUCUUUAAUGUGGGACGAAAUUAUUUUAAUAUGGUUUACUCCACAGUAAGAAUAGAAAGUCCUUGAUUUUCUAUAGUCAUCCAGAAGCAACUUCUUGAUCAUUGCAGACAGCUGAGAUUGUGCAAACAAGCCUCAGUGGCAUUCACUGCAGUCAAUCAUAAGCCAUUUGACUGAGAAAGUUUUGAGUAGUUUUCUUUUUUUGAAUCAUCAUUUCCAUUUUCCAGAAGGUAGUGCUGGAGGAAUGUUUUUCAGCUUCAUGUUCCUUAACCUAUGUAGUUCCACCAGGCCCAGUACUGCCCACUGUUGUUUUUAAUACCUACCACUGAGCUAAAAGGAAUUCAUCUGUGGUUUUGAAGUCAGGGAUUAAACAUCAUGCUGAUAAUAUCCAACUAUAGUUGUCUUCCAGAACCGAGUCUCUGGAAGCUCUGAGUUAUUGUCUGGAUACAGUGAAUGGCUGCGCAUGGGUGAAUAUCCAGAUGGGAUACACAUGUUAAUGGUUAGCAGGAAAGUCAACUUCAGCUUGUGAUUGGGUUUAUAAAGCAUUCUGGUUGGGGUUCUACUCUCUCUGAAAGACCAGACUGGAGCCUGGAGGUGCUCUUGGACUAAGCAUUUUUCCUCAAAGGUCACAUGGCCAGGGGUCCCUUUGAUUAGCUUUGGUUUGUGCACCCACCGAAUCGCUACAGUGUGGAACUGAUUGAUCACUGUUAUUCAAGCUUUAGAUAAAGGUAAAAGUUUUCCCCUGACAUUAAGUCUAGUCGUGUCCGAUUCUAUGGGUUGGUGCUCAUCUCCAUUUCUAAGCCGAAUUGCUAGCAUUGUCUGUAGACAACUACAAGGUCAUGUGGCUGGCAUGACUGCAUGGAGUGCUGUUAUUCAAGCUUUAAUGACAUCAUAAUUAGUCUUCUAUAAUGAACUCUACAUGGGACUUCCCUUGAAGAAUGUUUAGAAGCAACAGCUAUGGCAAUCUGGUGGCCACAUUAUUAUUUUAUGCUGACUUUACAGACUAGGUAGCACUAGUCUUUGUCAUAGGCAUUAACUGGUAUUGUGGCAACUUAAUAUCUCUAUUUAUCUAUCUAUUGCAGUUAUGGAAAUAAGGUGAAGCCUACAUUUGCUCUACAUUUGCUAUGACCACAAUCCAAUAUUGACAGAGAGAGGAGGAAGACACGAAUCAUGUGCUCAUUGCCUGUGCUUGCUGGAGAAGCUGGUCAUACCACAGUGAGCCCAACACAACAACACAGUGACAGGUCCACAUAUAAGGGAUUGCCCUGAAGUCCAAGUACCCAACCCACAGUUCCUUGGGGAGCAAGAGCAGGGAGAGAAAUAGGACUUCAAGGAUUGGAACUAUGGAGCCAUCCUGGAAAGGGGAUCUGUUUUUCAGAAUGAGAGUGAUCACAUUCAAGAAUUCCAAUAUUUUAUUGGAAAAGCUUGUUCAUAUUACAACAUUCAUCCCAUCCCAUUGACAGAGAAGCAAAACCCCGCAAAGUUGUGGGCUGCAGUUGUGUGGUUGUGAAAGACUAUGGCAAAGAAUCUCAGGCUAAAGAUGUCAUUGAAGAGUACUUCAAGUGCAAGAAAUGGACAAAUAAAAUAUUUUUUAAAAA